rnacentral:rRNA from 1 species
GAUGAACGCUGGCGGCGUGCCUAACACAUGCAAGUCGAACGAAGCAUCUGGUUUUGAUUUCUUCGGAAUGAAGAGCCUUAUGACUGAGUGGCGGACGGGUGAGUAACGCGUGGGUAACCUGCCUCAUACAGGGGGAUAACAGUUAGAAAUGACUGCUAAUACCGCAUAAGCGCACAGCAUCGCAUGGUGCAGUGUGAAAAACUCCGGUGGUAUGAGAUGGACCCGCGUCUGAUUAGCUAGUUGGUGGGGUAAUGGCCUACCAAGGCGACGAUCAGUAGCCGGCCUGAGAGGGUGAACGGCCACAUUGGGACUGAGACACGGCCCAA